UGGCUAAGGAGGUUAGGGACUGCAGGCAGUGAGAUAACGGGUCUAAAGGUACAGGCUUUGGUUUCCAUUCAGGAUUCCUGCAUGCAGGAGGCGAGGCAGGAAGGGUUUGCUGCUCGGGUUUCACCAGGUGACCUGGCACUGCUACCUCAGGGACUGUGGCUUGAAACUGCACCGCCAUGCUCUUAGCCACGGUAUGGCUGGAAGAAUGCAGAGGAUCGGAAAGCUGCUUUACAGCGUGGCAGUCCUGAGGGGUUUGUCUUGCAGUGGCAUGCAGCUAGCCAGGAGCUCCUCCUUUUAUUUAAUGUGGGUCCCAGAAUGCUCUGCAGGCUCUGGAUUCUGCAGGAAAGCCCAGGUGAUGCCGUGCCACUGGGACGAUCCCUCCCUGCAGGAGCAGGGCUCCCCCAUUGUGCUGCCCAGCGAGCCGGCUCCAGGGCCAGGGGAACGCUGGCUCCUGCAGGGCGAUGCUCUUUGAUACCGAGGUCUGGGCUGAAGCUCCCUGCCUCCCUUCUUCCCCUCCCUGCUAGGAGGCCCCUCUUGCCUUGCUGUCUAUUUUUAUCCACAUUUGAUGGAUAGGGCUGGGAUGUAAUGACGUCACAUGUUUUUGCACAACUUGCACUUUGUUACGGUUUAAGGUUCAGUCUAGGUGCCAGACAGACUGCGAAGCCAACAAACAUCUUCCCUGAUGCUUUGUCUUCUUUUAGCACAUUCGUUAGUGGUUUCUGUGGGGCAAAUGUGUGUUUACUGUGUUAAUACACCGGGCUCUGACCUCCCGUGUUCUGCAGCUCCCCACAUACGUCCUUCACAAACACGACCUACAUGAAUGUGUAGCCUGCUGGCGACAGCAUGUAAUUCAGAUGUGUGAAUUCACAGGAGGGCAGGCCAGCAUGCAUUUAAUGCUGCAGGAUCAGAGCUCUCCUGGGAAUAAAGCAGAGCAGUUUCCUGAAACUACUUGUUACAGCUAUUACUGCUGAAAGUAUCUCCACUGUCACCCCUGGGAUGGCGCGUAUUUCUGCAAACAUCUCAGGGCAAAGGCCGGGCCAGAGAGCUUGGUGAGGGGCUGCAGUCUUUUGUAAUAAGGGCUGCUCACUUGAGCGCUGCCUGUGUUCCCACUGGCAGCUCCCACAAAACGCAGGAAACACGUAUCCAGCUCUUCCGUAAGUGGAAUGAAAGCCAGCAUGUGUAACAGUGCACCGCAUAAACAGAGGUGAAGCUGACCACGGGAACAGGGCAGUGUGUGGGUGUGUGUUGGGAUGAGGGCAUUUGCUGUAACUGGUAAAGCUCAGUGCUAAAAAUGGGAUGGUUUGAAAUGCUUGGGAAGUCUCGUCCGCUGGCGAGGGAGCAGGGGGGCGCAGGGGGCAGCAGCCAGGCUGAUGUAUGGGGCAAAGCAGAAGGAGAGGCUGCCUGCAGUGAACGGGGGCAGUGGCUGUGUGACCACCUGCAGAUGUGAGAGCACGGCCGUGGGCUACGGGGCAGGCUCUGGGUGAUGGAGGAGCUGGUCAGAGGCAGAGGGGCGUCACCGGGAGAGAGGAAGGUGUCCCUGCCAGACCAGAGGGCUGGAGGGGGGGAGCCCACAGCUGUGGCACGGAGGGGCAGCGAGGGGCGAAGGGGUGAAGGGCAGGGUCAAGGGCAGGGAUGGCAGGAGGAGGUGGGUGUCAAAGUCCUGGGAGCACUAUCAGUAACUGCCCUGCAAGAGCCAGCUGCCAGCGUGGGUGAGGCUGCUGCUCUGACUGGUACGCCCACCAGAGACGGCUGAUUUUAUUUUGUUCGUUGCUUGUAGCUGGUCAUGCACAAAGGGUGCCUGGUUUAUGUAAGACCUCACUGCCUGCUCUCCCUUUCUUGGCAGGCUCCUGCAGGCAGCUGGAAGGGCUCAGAGCCGCUCUGCAGCCCUGGCAGGGACUGGAUCGGUUUCCUGACUCCAGGCCUCUUCUGCAAAGUAGUGCUCUCAGCGGAGGACAGCAUGUUCAGCGCAGCAGCACGCCCUGCGCUGUGCGUGUCUGAGUGGCCCCCAACCCCAGUGUUUCCAUGUCCCGGCCUCCUGUGUUCGGCUGCCAGGGUAUUUCCUGCUCUUCAGGCCAUGGUUUCCUUUUGUAAAUCUCAGCUGGUUUCUUUACGUCCCUUCUCACUUUGCCUCCCUCUGCAGCCCUGCUGCUCCCCGGGACACGCGGCCUCCCCAGAACCUCCUGAAGGAGCCCCGUGUCCCUGGGCAGAGCUGGCCAGCUCCAGGCUCUUCAGAAGCCCCCUGCUCUCAGGUGCUGGCCCCGGAGGACGCUGGCAGAUGCAGGUGCACCGGGGCAGGCAGUUCCAGUGGCUGCACGGCGAGGUGUGCGGGCAAUGCGGACAGCGCAAUGAAACGCUUCAGCUGCGGGGGCCCUGCAGCCCGCUUGAAUCUGUCCCCACCCUGCCCACGUGCAGCCCCGCAGCCUGCGCGGGGCGAGGAGGAAGGGUGCCUGCUGCAGCCUGGCGGCUGGAGCCCACCGGGCUUGGAGCUUCUUUUUUGGAAAUUCAGCGCUUCCUGUGGGAGUGCAAUCUGAGUCCUGGGGAGCCAUCUGGAACCCUCCCAACCUCAGAUCCCCGGGCAGGCUGGAGCUGGCACCGACUCCUUUCAGAAGCCUCACCACCCUGGCUGCUCGAGUCCUCCUGCCCACCAUCCUCCGCUUGCCUACACAAUCCAGGCCCCUCGGCCCACCUCAGAGCCAGGGGCACAAGCUGGUGCCAAUUCCCUGCAAGAAGCAACAACACAGAGAGGGGCUGCACCUGCAUGGCCUGUCCAUCUCUGUGGCCUGGCACCAGCCACCAGCAAUGUGCAGGAAGCAGUGUGAGAACAAAGCAGGGGUAUACCUACACCUCUUGGCACGUCCUCACAAGCGCCAGGGGUUUGCAUACCUGCGAGCUACUGAAACAACCAUCUCUCUUGUUAUUUAGUAGUCUUUGACGGAUUUUCCUCUAAAGCUUACUCCAAAUGC